AUUAACAAUCGACAACAGUUGGGAAAGAGCUCUAGCAAUACCCGAGUCACCGGUGCAUCCUGUCGCACCACCACCACCUCCUCCACCGCCCACGGUGGCCGGAACAUAUCUAUCACCGUUCUUGUACUUAUCCUCAGGCGGAUCCAAACUGGGAAAGAAAGAAGGCAGGAUGCGAAGAAAGAAGAGAAAAGAUGAGAGGAUAACAUAGCGCAAACCUUCAAAAACCUUAGAAUUCUGGGAAAAAAAGGCAAGGCAUUUGUCUGCAAAGAUGAAGAGUGAGGUAAUAAGGUUUCUCAAAAGAAGAGGAGACAUGGAGAUUAGGGAGGCUUCCAUAAUGGACAUGGAGAUGAGGGAGUACUCCUUUGUUUUCCUUCUCAGUCUCUCUCUCUCUCUCUCUCUCUCUUAAUCGUUGUCGUCUACUUUGUUUCCCUUCCCAGUC
rnacentral:lncRNA from 1 species